CCUACGGGUGGCAGCAGUGAGGAAUAUUGGUCAAUGGACGAGAGUCUGAACCAGCCAAGUAGCGUGAAGGAUGACUGCCCUAUGGGUUGUAAACUUCUUUUAUAUGGGAAUAAAAUGUUCCACGUGUGGGAUUUUGUAUGUACCAUAUGAAUAAGGAUCGGCUAACUCCGUGCCAGCAGCCGCGGUAAUACGGAGGAUCCGGACGUUAUCCGGAUUUAUUGGGUUUAAAGGGAGCGUAGGUGGAUUGUUAAGUCAGUUGUGAAAGUUUGCGGCUCAACCGUAAAAUUGCAGUUGAAACUGGCAGUCUUGAGUACAGUAGAGGUGGGCGGAAGUCGUGGUGUAGCGGUGAAAUGCUUAGAUAUCACGAAGAACUCCGAUUGCGAAGGCAGUUCACUGGACUGCAACUGACACUGAGGCUCGAAAGUGUGGGUAUCAAACAGGAUUAGAUACCCCAGUAGUC
rnacentral:rRNA from 1 species